CAUUAAAGAGUUCUAUAACUCCCAAACCCAUGUGAACAUACCUAACGUUGCCUCGGCAGGUCGCACCUACCUUGUAGCACCCUACCCUGUAGGGCCUACCCGGGAGGUGCGGGUAAGCCUGCCGGCGGCCCACCAAACUCUGUUUGAUAUUGAAUUCUGAACCUAUAACUAAAUAAGUUAAAACUUUCAACAACGGAUCUCUUGGUUCUGGCAUCGAUGAAGAACGCAGCGAAAUGCGAUAAGUAAUGUGAAUUGCAGAAUUCAGUGAAUCAUCGAAUCUUUGAACGCAUAUUGCGCCCAUUAGUAUUCUAGUGGGCAGGACCGUUCGAGCGUCAUUUCAACCCUUAAGCCUUCGUUGCUUAGUGUUGGGAGCCUACGGCAACGUAGCUCCUCAAAGUUAGUGGCGGAGUUGGUUCACACUCUAGACGUAGUAAUUUUUUAUCUCGCCUAUUAGUUGGACUAAUCCCCUGCCGUAAAACCCCCAAUUUAUCAAGGUUGACCUCGAAUCGGUUCAGACAAACUCGCUAAAUUGAAGCAUCUUAGUCAGCGAAGGAAAAGAAACCAACAGGGAUUGCCCUAGUAACGGCGAGUGAAGCGGCAACAGCUCAAAUUUGAAAUCUGGCCCUCGGGUCCGAGUUGUAAUUUGUAGAGGAUGCUUUUGGCGCGGUGCCUUCCGAGUUCCCUGGAACGGGACGCCUUAGAGGGUGAGAGCCCCGUACGGUUGGACACCAAGCCUCUGUAAAGCUCCUUCGAC
rnacentral:rRNA from 1 species